AACGUCGUGAGACAGUUCGGUCCCUAUCUGCCGUGGACGUUGGAGAUUUGAGGAAAGCUGCUCCUAGUACGAGAGGACCGGAGUGGACGAACCGCUGGUGUUCGGGUUGUGUCGCCAGACGCAUUGCCCGGUAGCUAUGUUCGGACAGGAUAACCGCUGAAAGCAUCUAAGCGGGAAGCCCCUUCCAAGAUGAGAUCUCCCUGAGGCCUUGAGCCUCCUGAAGAGCCGUUCAAGACCAGGACGUUGAUAGGCUGGGUGUGUAAGCGCUGUGAGGCGUUGAGCUAACCAGUACUAAUUGCUCGUG
rnacentral:rRNA from 1 species